rnacentral:ncRNA from 2 species
GUAGGUUGAGGGAACUGUCUAUCAGUCUGCUCUCAGGAGACUAUCGCCCACGACCUUCCCAGUGAGCGGGCUACGGUCUGAGUGUUCAAGUCCCUCUUGAUUGGCUCUAGCUGAGUCCCGUCGACAACGACGGCGCGACGUUUCAGAAACCCAGCCGUGGACUUCUCCAAGAUAUCUUGGGCCAGCGAUGGACCUGUAGACUCCUCUGGUCGGCCCGUGAUUCGUGAACCACGCGUUGCCUGGUGGACGAGGGUGUAGCCCCAAAGGCACAAAAGUGCUACUAUCCCUCCCCCCUAGCGGCUUUGGAACACGUUGCAGGGAUUGGGCAGUCAACCGCCUGCAUUACUCCUCUCGUGGUGCUUCCGUCUGUGCUCCUACUAAUCAGGAGCGCACACCCCUUGCUUCCUGAUCCUGCAUCAGUCGCUCGAGAAGUGUCGACGGAUUCCCCGAGACGGGGUUGCACAGAGAGUGCGGCAUUGUAGGUGGUGACUAUCCUUCAGCGCAGUUCGCGGGAUGCAUUUAGCUUCGUGCCCGUGCAUAGCCCGAUUCAGACCAUUUUGUGCUAU